rnacentral:rRNA from 1 species
GGAAUAUUGGGCAAUGGGCGAAAGCCUGACCCAGCAACGCCGCGUGAGUGAAGAAGGUUUUCGGCUCGUAAAGCUCUGUUGUUAAAGAAGAACGUGGGUAAGAGUAACUGUUUACCCAGUGACGGUAUUUAACCAGAAAGCCACGGCUAACUACGUGCCAGCAGCCGCGGUAAUACGUAGGUGGCAAGCGUUAUCCGGAUUUAUUGGGCGUAAAGCGAGCGCAGGCGGUUUCUUAAGUCUGAUGUGAAAGCCUUCGGCUUAACCGAAGAAGUGCAUCGGAAACUGGGAAACUUGAGUGCAGAAGAGGACAGUGGAACUCCAUGUGUAGCGGUGAAAUGCGUAGAUAUAUGGAAGAACACCAGUGGCGAAGGCGGCUGUCUGGUCUGUAACUGACGCUGAGGCUCGAAAGCAUGGGUAGCGAACA